AGUGAACGCUGGCGGCAGGCCUAAUACAUGCAAGUCGAACGGCAGCACGGCAGAGCUUGCUCUGUGGGUGGCGAGUGGCGGACGGGUGAGGAAUACAUGGGAAUCUGCCCAGUCGUGGGGGAUAACGUAGGGAAACUUACGCUAAUACCGCAUGCGCCCUUCGGGGAAAGCCGGGGACCUUCGGGCCUGGCGCGAUUGGAUGAGCCCAUGUCGGAUUAGCUAGUUGGCGGGGUAAUGGCCCACCAAGGCGACGAUCCGUAGCUGGUCUGAGAGGAUGAUCAGCCACACUGGAACUGAGACACGGUCCAGACUCCUACGGGAGGCAGCAGUAGGGAAUAUUGGACAAUGGGCGCAAGCCUGAUCCAGCCAUGCCGCGUGAGUGAAGAAGGCCCUCGGGUUGUAAAGCUCUUUUGUCCGGAAAGAAAAGCGCCGGGUUAAUACCCUGGUGUCCUGACGGUACCGGAAGAAUAAGCACCGGCUAACUUCGUGCCAGCAGCCGCGGUAAUC
rnacentral:rRNA from 1 species